ensembl:ribozyme RNaseP_nuc Nuclear RNase P
GGCAGAGGAAAAUGCUCAUCAGCAGGGCCACGUGCUGAGUGCUCCUCAUUCCCCAGCCUCUGGGAAAGUCUGAGACUGGGUACUCCCAAGGCCCUAACGGGGCCCUCCCUAAGUGGGGAGGUGAGUUCCCAGAGAUCAGGGCUCCAUGCUUGGGUAGACUGGGCAGGAGAGGGCCGGAGUAGGCAGAUGCCUCCCUCACCAGAGCUUGGAACAGACUCACAGCCAGCGCAGAGUGAGUUCAAUGGCUGAAGUGAGGUACCUCCUAGACCUCAUAACACAAUUCACACUGAUCUCACCUGCC